GCGCACGGGNGAGUAAUAUAUAGAUAACGCGCCUCUUAGUCUGGGAUAGCCAUUGGAAACGAUGAUUAAUACUAGAUACUCCUUCUUAUUCCAAUAUAAGUUGGGAAAGUUUUUCGCUAAGAGAUCGGUCUAUAUCCCAUCAGCUUGUUGGUAGUGUAAGAGACUACCAAGGCAAUGACGGGUAGCGGGUUUGAGAGGAUGAUCCGCCACACUGGUACUGAGACACGGACCAGACUCCUACGGGAGGCAGCAGUGAGGAAUAUUGCACAAUGGGGGAAACCCUGAUGCAGCAACGCCGCGUGGAGGAUGACGCAUUUCGGUGUGUAAACUCCUUUUAUAUGUCAAGAAAAUGACGGUAGCAUAUGAAUAAGCACCGGCUAACUCCGUGCCAGCAGCCGCGGUAAUACGGAGGGUGCAAGCGUUAUUCGGAAUCACUGGGCGUAAAGGACGCGUAGGCGGGAAGCCAAGUCUGAUGUGAAAUCCUAUGGCUUAACCAUAGAACUGCAUUGGAAACUGGUUACCUAGAGUAUGGG
rnacentral:rRNA from 1 species